UCACAGUUUUUCCUUGUCUGGUGGUCCC
rnacentral:sRNA from 1 species